UCCUCAAAAAGAGAGCAACGGCGUAUUCCUUUUCAUAGAGAAAAAAUCAAAUAAAAAAGGGAACGGGGGACCUUACCCUUUCAAAAUUAUUUUUCUGCAAUGGACACACAUAGGCAUAAAGAAGGAGAAAAGGACAUCAUUUCAAAAAGUGUAAAAAAUGACACAAGGGAAGUGGGAAAAAAAUAGAAGCGAGAAAUUAGAUUUCAAAAAGGAAAAGAAAACAAAAUCCUCCCCAAUUUUGCUACUUGUUUGCUUCAAAUUAGAGCCAAUCAAUGAUGCUACUUAUUUUGAUCUUCAACAAGCGAAGCUACAGUCCAAAUUAAGCCAAGUUGAUAGAGUUUCGAGGUUCCGGCGAGGUCACCUUUAGAUCCGGUCAUUGUUCAGUUUGUUCAAGCCAAAAUUCCGAUUCUGGGUUUGCAUCAUUAAUACAAAGGAAAUCACUGAUAUCCGCUGUUGUUAUCUGCUGAAAUUUUGGGUUGAGCUUCAUUCAAUUUGGUCUUGACUUUUAAUCAUUUCUAUUCAAGUUUUCUGGUUCAACCAGUUUCAGAUCUGGGUUUGGUUUGGUUUAGCUGAUUUUCCUUGCAAAUGAGUUGCCAAUAUGCUGAAAAGGUCAAACCAUCCUCAAGCGAUAUAAAUAUUUUAGAUAUCAAUUCUAUUUGUAUUUGGUAAAAUGCAUGGACGACGCCUUAAUUGAUGCAUUCUAUCAUCAACAUAUACCUAGUAAGAGAGUUGGUGGAACCUUCACUUCACACACACUGGAUAAUAUAGUGAAUGAGCUACAAUCAAAAUUUUCUGAUAAAGUUAUUAACAAAGAGAGAGUUCACAAUCGAAUGAGAUUAAUUAAAAGAAAAUUAGAAAGUGCUAUGACACGUUUCAAAACAGGAUGAGUGGGUUUGCAUUGGAUUCAAGUACAAAUACAUGGAAUGUUGAAUCUGAAGUAUAUGGGAUCAAUUAAUUCAGGCUAAUCUUGAGGCUGCUGAAUUGAGGAACAAGCCGAUUAGAAAUUAUAAUACGCUAAUGGUACUAUAUGGAAAAGAUAGGGCUACUGGAAAGCAUGCCGAAAUUGGAUCAGACAUGUUGAAAAAAAGUGCUCAUAAUAAUUUGAGAAGAACAAGUACUGCUUCAUUGACCAUUGAUGAGGUAGAUGAAUCAAUUUCUAUAAAUGCGGCUUCUUUGGAAAACACUAAGAAAGAUGGGCAAGAUGAGCAAGAGAAAACAACUCCCAAAACGCCUAAGUUGAAUGCAUAUUCAGAGGCACCUAUUUCUAAUAAGAAUAAAAAGCCAAAAUAAGACCAUCUUGAAGGUAUGGCUGAUAUGUUGAGAGGUGGGAUGGAUAAAUUGGCCAAUGCCAUAAAUCGCCUAUCAACUAUGCCACCAAUUCCAGAGAGUGAGAUAUGGCAUAUGGUGAAGGCGAUGGAUUUGGAACCGCGUUUGGUCCCAAAGGCUUAUAUAUUUCUUUUCCAACAUUCAGACGUGUGCCGCACUAACUAGAUGUCUAUGGGGAGAACGCAAAAUUCUUUUGUUGACCAUGAUGUCGGUUGACAAUUAAGUUAAAUUUAUAUUAUUAUAACUAUUAAGGAUUUUAUGAUGAAGUAGAACGCUUCGUUAUUAGAAGGUAUUAUGUUAUGCACUCAAGUUUUGGAUUAUAUACAAAUGCUUGUUACUAGGAAAUAUUAUUCACGAUCUAAAUUUUGAA